ACUACACUCGCACAAACUGAGAAGAGUUAGUUCAUUGAGAAUGGAUUGAAACUGAUGAAGAGCUGGAAGGAGUUAACUGAUGAGUAGACUUUACAACAUUUCUUAUAUUUGCAAGAUGAAGCUGAAAGUCCCAUGCAGGAUGAUGCUUCUCUACAGUGGAUGAUGAAGGCAUGCUGGUUUACAAACUCAGGAGAGGAACAAAUAACAGAUAUUGACAGGAUCAUAUCUAGAGAUGCGAGCCUACUAUACACUUCAUACGAGCAAGUGUGCUAAUAUACAUGCUGACUUGGGUUAUCAUCACAGCCCUUUCUUCUGAAAACUAGCCUACAACUUCAUCGAUGAAUGCAGAAGACAUCUACAUGGGACUACGUCUUAAAGAUGCCAUCCUCAUAUAAUGAAAGAGGACAGUAGAGAUGGGUUUAAACUUGAAU
rnacentral:lncRNA from 1 species